UACGGGGGGGGCAAGCGUUGUUCGGAAUUACUGGGCGUAAAGGGCUCGUAGGCGGCCAACUAAGUCGGACGUGAAAUCCCCAGGCUCAACCUGGGAACUGCGUCUGAUACUGGAUGGCUUGAAUCCGGGAGAGGGAUGCAGAAUUCCAGGUGUAGCGGUGAAAUGCGUAGAUAUCGGGAGGAAUACCUAUGGCGAAAGCAGCCUUCUGGACCGUCACUGACUCUGAUCUGCGAAAGCUAGGGGAGCAAACAGG
rnacentral:rRNA from 1 species